UGCAUCCAUGACGAGUGUGCGUGGGGCACCUGAAUACCAUUUUUGAUUAAACCAGUCUCUAACUCUGAGGUCCAC
rnacentral:snoRNA from 1 species